rnacentral:misc_RNA from 1 species
GAUGAAGAACGUAGCGAAAUGCGAUAAGUAGUGUGAAUUGCAGAAUUCAGUGAAUCAUCGAAUCUUUGAACGCACAUUGCGCCCUUUGGUAUUCCAAAGGGCAUGCCUGUUCGAGCGUCAUUUGUACCCUCAAGCUUUGCUUGGUGUUGAGCGUCUUGUCUCUAGCUUUGCUGGAGACUCACCUUAAAGUAAUUGGCAGCCGGCCUACUGGUUUCGGAGCGCAGCACAAGUCGCACUCUCUAUCAGCAAAGGUCUAGCAUCCAUUAAGCCUUUUUUUUCAACUUUUGACCUCGGAUCAGGUAGGGAUACCCGCUGAACUUAAGCAUAUCAAUAAGCGGAGGA